rnacentral:rRNA from 1 species
UACGUAGGUGGCGAGCGUUGUCCGGAAUCAUUGGGCGUAAAGAGCGCGUAGGUGGCUUGUCAGGUCUGAUGUGAAAACCUGGGGCUCAACCCCAGGCCUGCAUCGGAAACCGGCUUGCUAGAGUCUGGGAGAGGAGAGUGGAAUUCCUGGUGUAGCGGUGAAAUGCGUAGAUAUCAGGAGGAACACCGGUAGCGAAGGCGGCUCUCUGGAACAGUACUGACGCUGAGGCGCGAAAGCUAGGGGAGCGAACAGGAUUAGAUA